AUUCAAGUAAUUAACUCUUGAUGAGUUCAGCACAGCUGUUAAUUAAAAGCUAUUCCAAGUGCCUACCUCAUAAAGAUCAGAACAGACUCAUGUAGCAGGUUGGGUUUGUUACCCCACCUAUACUGCUGGUGAAGCUGUGUGGCUGCUUUAAAUUACUGGGCGGCCCCUUUGUACUCUAUAUAUGGGUAGGGGAUGACUAUUCAUGGUGCACUUCCUGUUCCCCCUCCUCAUUGCUCCGGGCUCUGACUUCCGUGCCGGCAGCGGUCAGCGUGGAGUUUAGCGCGAUUGUUUGGGUUACUUCUCAAGAGUUUCAGGUAUCUGGUUACAGUAUUAUGGCAUAAUAUGACAGUUUGGCUUAAUUAUUAACUCUCUUUAUUCGCUUGUAGUUGCGGGCUCGUGGUGUUAUUGCCAGUCCAGCGCGGCUGUGUGUCUCUGACUGUGUCAGUGCAGUUUCACUUUCACUAAGGUUUUAGUGUCCAGAUUGUGCUGACUGAUUCCAGCCUCCCCACAGUGCUGCUGUUUUGCCUGAGUUUAUUUAGUUUUGUUUCAUUAAUUUUCAUUUGCUCCUAGUUAUUUUGAGUUUUUGUCUUGCUUUUCUUCAUUUCAUUUGUUAAAUCAGCUUUGAUUUGCCUUUAGUUAUUUUGAUAUUUUGUUGUAUUGAUUUUCUUUUGUCUUUAUUUUGAGUUAAGAUUUGCUGGAGUUUAUUCUUAUGUAUUUUUUUUCUUUAUUGGAUUAAAAUUAUAUUUCUGCUUUAUUUUUGAUUUGCUGGUUUGGACCUUUUGAGGUUUAUUCUGGCUUAUUAAUUUGGGAUUUGCUUUGACUUAAUUUCGGGUUUAUUCAUGAUUUACUAAUUUGGGUUUGCUUUUGAUUUCUUUUUGGUCUAUUUCUGAUUUAUUGUGUGGAGUUGCUUUUGACCUAACCUCUGUUUAUUUAAUUUUUUUGCUGAGUUUGCUUCUGAUUUAAUUUAUUUUGCCAGAUUGAACUUUCAUUUGUCCAUUUACUUUAACAAAGUUUAAGUUUGUUUCUGUGUUUUUUUUGAAUUAACAAAAACAAGAACAGUGGUUGUGGAAUUCCCUUCUUGGCUGUGUGUUUGUCUUUUUAGUGUUGGAGUGGUAUAAGGUGAGGUUGUAAGAGACCAGGGCCCAUAAAAAGAUAAGUACAUUUCGAGCAAUUGUAAUUGGUCUCUCUCCCUUCACCGCUGGUAGCUUUUUAUAAUUGUUUUUUUUUCUUUGUGUCUCUUAGUUGGACCGGAGCUGUGGGCCAAAGCGGCGGGUUCGGGGAUGUGGAAUGCUGUUCACCUUUCCUGUAGUGUAGAGCACGCUGGGUGUUGAAAUGUGUGGUUUGUAGUGUUGACUAUUUCCUCUUCCUGUACUUUCUUCUGCCGUGGUAAGCCCUCAGCCCAGUUCCUCCCUAAAUUUGUUUUUAGUAAAGUAAAUUCUACUAUUUCUAGUUUUUAUACUGUUGUCCAAGAAGGGAGUUUCUGGUCUGCCCUGUGUGUGUGUGGAAAUAUGUUUUAAAAUAAUUGUCAAUAAAUUUUCCUUAACUGAUGGUA